rnacentral:lncRNA from 1 species
GGGAGGCUGAGGCAGGAGAAUCGCUGGAACCCGGGAGGUGGAGGUUGCAGUGAGCUGAGAUCAUGCCACUGCACUCCAGCCUCGGUGACAGAGGCAGACUCCGCCUCAAAGAAAAAUAAAUCUUCUGUAAUAUCUCAUCAUAGUAUUAAUUUCCAUCAUGUCCUUAUUGACAUUUCCCUAUCCUCAGGGGAAUGUUCUUUCAUGACUUUUGCCCAUUUUCUAAUUUAAAGCUUUGGAUUUUUAAUACUAUCUUUUGAGAAUUAUGUAAAUAUUCUAGCCAUAAGUCCAAUGUUGGAUAUGAGAUUUGAAAACAAAGGGCCGGGCAUGGUGGCUCACACCUAUAAUCCCAGUACUUUGGGAGGCAGAGGCGAGCAGAUUACCUGAGGUCGGGAAUUCGAGACCAGCCUGACCAACAUGGAGAAACCUCAUCUCUACUAGAAAUAACAAAAAAAUUAGGCGGGCGUACUGGCACAUGCCUGUAAUCCCAUCUAUUUGGGAGGUUGAGGCAGGAGAAUCACUUGAACCCGGGAGGCAGAGCUUGCAGUAAGCUGAGAUCAUGCCACUGCACUCCAGCCUGGGCGAC